rnacentral:rRNA from 1 species
UGGGGAAUUUUGGACAAUGGGGGCAACCCUGAUCCAGCAAUGCCGCGUGUGUGAAGAAGGCCUUCGGGUUGUAAAGCACUUUUAGUGGGGAAGAAAGGCUCAAGGCUAAUACCUUUGAGCGUUGACGUUAUCCACAGAAAAAGCACCGGCUAACUCUGUGCCAGCAGCCGCGGUAAUACAGAGGGUGCUAGCGUUAAUCGGAAUUACUGGGCGUAAAGCGCAUGUAGGCGGACAUUUAAGUCGGAUGUGAAAGCCCCGGGCUCAACCUGGGAAUUGCAUUCGAUACUGAAUGUCUAGAGUAUGAUAGAGGAGAGUGGAACUUCCGGUGUAGCGGUGAAAUGCGUAGAUAUCGGAAAGAACACCAGUGGCGAAGGCGGCUCUCUGGAUCAAUACUGACGCUAAAGUGCGAAAGCGUGGGGAGCAAACAGGAUUAGAUACCCCCGUAGUCC